UGGGGAAUAUUGGACAAUGGGCGAAAGCCUGAUCCAGCCAUGCCGCGUGUGUGAAGAAGGUCUUCGGAUUGUAAAGCACUUUAAGUUGGGAGGAAGGGCAGUAAGUUAAUACCUUGCUGUUUUGACGUUACCAACAGAAUAAGCACCGGCUAACUUCGUGCCAGCAGCCGCGGUAAUACGAAGGGUGCAAGCGUUAAUCGGAAUUACUGGGCGUAAAGCGCGCGUAGGUGGUUCAGCAAGUUGNAUGUGGAAUCCCCGGGCUCAACCCGGGGAACUGCGUCCCCAACUACUGAGGUNNUAGAGGGCGGAGGAGGGGGAUUUUACUUGUCUUGUGGGGGGGUGCAGAGGCGUAGAUUUGAAACGGAACACCAAUGGAGAACGCGACCAGCUGGACUGAUACUGAGCCUGAGGUGCGGGAGGCGGGGGGANAAAAAAAAAUUANAUACCCUGGUAGUCCACGCCGUANACGAUGUCGACUAGCCGUUGGGAUCCUUGAGAUCUUAGUGGCGCAGCAANGCGAUAAGUCGACCGCCUGGGGAGUACGGCCGCAAGGUU
rnacentral:rRNA from 1 species